CUGGAUCGCUCGGGGUGCUGGCGGUUGCAGCCGGCUGAGAGCAUACCCGUUGAACCUGAUGCCGAUAAUGCGGCCGCAGGAAAGCGAGAUGCGCGGGCU
rnacentral:ncRNA from 1 species